GAUGAACGCUGGCGGCGUGCCUAAUACAUGCAAGUCGAGCGAACAGACGAGGCGCUUGCUUCUCUGACGUUAACGGCGGAAGGGAUACUAACACGUGUGCACCGUCGUUAUAGAAAAGUAAUAGAUUGGGUAACUCGUACCUAAUACGGGCUAUUGAUUAAAACGGCAUGGUUUAAUACCUAACGCGGUUUUUGCGGCCACUGUCAGAUGAAUCCGCGCCGCAUUAGCUAGUUGGUAAGGUAACGGCUUACCAAGGCAACGAUGCGUAGCCGCCCUGAGAGGGUGAUCGGCCACACUGGAACUGAGACACGGUCCAGACUCCUACGGGAGGCAGCAGUAGGGAAUCUUCCGCAAUGGGCGAAAGCCUGACGGAGCAACGCCGCGUGCGGGAUGAAGGUCUUCGGAUCGUAAAACUCUGUUAUUAGGGACGAACAAAUGUGUAAGUAACUAUGCACCUCUUGACGGUACCUAAUCAGAAAGCCACGGCUAACUACGUG
rnacentral:rRNA from 1 species